rnacentral:lncRNA from 1 species
ACACAAUGACAUCAUAAUUGGUUGCCCAUUUGUACUUUUAUAUGAUCCGAAAGUAACCUUCUUAAUAAUAGAGGUAAUGGAGCGUGUGUGUGUGUGUGUGUGUGUGUGUGUGUGUGUGUGUGUGUGUGUGUGCUUCUAUCUGGGUAUGUAGGCCUUUGCUUUACAUUAUUCAUGACACAAAGGAGAUGGUGUGUUCCUAUAAGCAUUGCCAAAGAGAGAGGUUUUGUGUUACACAACCCACUCAUCAAAGCUCAUCAAAGAAUAGGCCAGUGUCAUUUUGCGCCUUGGCAGACCAUAUGGCUCUAACCCAUGCCAUCCACCAUCCUUUACAAAAAUCAUUUGAAUAAUGUAUAAACCAAGAAGAGAACGUUCCAGGAUUGCCUUCUCAUUUCCAUCGUCACCAUCCUCUUUGAUUACUUGCAGACACUCCCUUUAUAAAAGGUGGAUCUAUUGCACUCUGGCAAUGCAUUAACCUGCGAGUUAAUUGCAUGUUUCCUUCAGGGUAGAGUCAUUAGAAGCUAUAAGGCUCGUUAACAUUUUAAUUAUAAUUUAAUAACUUUUCCAUACAGUUACCCUUGUGAGGAUAGUUUGUUAUUUAAUUUUUGAUAUCUGGGAAAUUAAGAUAUCAAAAGCAGCGCUGACAUAUCUAAUAUGUGUAUGUUUAACCCCUUCACAUUAGCGAUCUUACAGUUAAUGAUGGGGCAUACUGCACAGCUUGUUGUCUCUGUAAUGUGGAGUGUACUGGAAUUCAUGAGAUGCGGCUUGUGUGUAUGAGGUUGGUGCAACUUCAAUUCAAGUCAAGGCCAAGCCAGCAUAGUUUAGAAGGAAAGUGUCAGGGCCCAUUGGCCUUCAGCUUCCAUUUGAAUUUAUUUCUGUUCCCAUUAAACGGGUAAAUAUUUUUCAUUUUGCAGUGCACCGUGUACACAUGAGUCUGAAAAUGCCUAACGCAAGUCUUAAUCCAAUUAUGUAAAGUCCCUGUACAGUAUAUUUGUUCUAUUACACACACAUGUAAAAUUGUGUAAUUAAUACACAUGUAAAUUGGAAAUGUUAUUUUGUAUA